CGCUUCUGUGUUCCCGACUCAGUCUGGCCUGUUUGUGUUUCUAGAGAGCGUGGAGGGGGAGCGGGGAGGUGGGCUUUGUGUUCACAGCGCACUGACACAAGCUUCACUCGAGGCCUUUGAUGUCGGAGCCCUUGCCCUCAUGCGCAUGCUGUUCAUGUUUGAGAAGGGGAAGUUCCAUGAUCUGAUUAACACUGAUGGCUCUUUAAAAGGGCUCAACUAUCUCUGACUUCUGAUCCUGGCGUUCUUGCCCCGUUGUGAAUUUCCUCUCGUGAGUCCAUCGCUGCGAGGGAGCGAGAGAGGGGAGAAUGAGGCGUUUGUUUGUGUGAGCUUGCGUUGCAUCUUGAGUUGACUAGAACACACUGUGGUUGCGAGUGUUCUGGAUGCCACUCUGUCUGGUGCUUUCCUCUCUGACUGUGAGUGUGAAGGUCAUGUCAUGUCCGUUCUCUCCGUCUUUCAUUCCCUCCUGCUCUCUCUCUCUCUCUCGCGUGCUUUCUCUCACUCUUCACUCCCUGUCUCUUUCUUUCUUUCUUUCUUUCUUUCUCUCUCUCUCUCUUUCUUUCUCUCACUCUUCAUCCCCCGUCUUUCCUUUAUAAUGAUGGUGUUAGAUUCAAUUUAAUUUGACCCUCAUAGCACAUUAAAAAUAAAGCAUUGAGCACUUAUAAGCAUGAUUUCAAAGGACUUCACAUUUGGGGCCAAACAGCCCCCCUCAAUCAAUACACAUUGAGAAGCUCCCUUUGAAAAAGAAAAAACUUUAGUUGGAAUGUGGUCAAAGGUGCCCCUAUUAACCAACACAGUCUGCACACUUAGUUCAAUUCCCUUUUAUUGACAUAGAACCAAUAACAAUUAAAAUUGUGUAAAGGUGGUUUACAGAGCAUAGAACCUGAAUCCCCAGGGGCAUUCAAUUAAAAUUCAAAGAGGUCUAGUUAGAGAAAAUGACCUCAAGUAAAAGUCUAGAACAUCCUAAUGUCUCACUUGCAUUAUGAUUCAGUGCAAUAUAUAUAUUGAAGUAGCCCAGUAGUUAGAUAGCAUCUAAUCUAGUCAACAGCUGACUGUCAAAUCAUACAAAAAAGUACUAUUCAAUUCAAUUAUAUUAUAUGUUUUUGUAAAAUACUGUAAUGAUAAAUGUUAUUUCAUUGUUGUUAACUCAAUGUCACAUCUUAACAGUCCCAGUACCCACAACUUUGGCAGAGAAAACAGCACAUUAAAAGGUCACAAGACAAGGUUAACAAGGUAUAAAAAGAUCUCAAUGAAGGACAACAUUCUUUGCUAGUUUUCUGAUUCUUGUAAUGAUCACUAUAACAUGCUUUCAAAGCUAUUAAAAGUAGAGUUCAAAGUUCUCACAGCACUGACUUGCAACUUUUUCCAUGGCUGCAGUUCAUGACAGGCCAAAAGCUCCUAUCCCCAACCCUGUUUACCAUUGCUCUUUUCAAAACACUUCUGAAUGAAUAACAUGAAUAACUGUAUGAUUGAACAGUAUGAGUAUGAAUAACACAAUGUUAUUGACUGAAUAUGUGAGACAAAAUUUCAAUCAAUUCGAUCAAUGCCCCCAGAAUAAAUAACAUAUUGUUUCUAUUUUUAGCACUCAUGCACAAUGCAGCAAUGCCUGAGUGAAUGACAACCUGGAACAAUAGUCAUUUUGCAUCAUAAACAGUGUCCAUUUUUUCCUAGCACUCACCUUAUUUUCUGUGGAAAAUUCUUUACAUUUGUAAAAAUCUUAACCCUAAAUAAAUAAAUAACCAGCCAAAGUGAAUUUAACACGGGGAAGCGGAUACUUCUAAGGCAACUGAACAGCUUUAACACCUAAUUUUCUCUUCAUUUCCCUCUAAUAUCCCACAGGGCUGUUCUCAUAUACAUGUGUAGGUGCUCAUUGGUGAGCCUGGAACAGUGUUUGGUUUUUUAUAAUGUUAAUUGUGGAGAAAGACGCCUAACGGCUGUAUGAGGAGCCGAACAUGGUCAAAAUGUCAACUCCUCUGAGGAAUUCCCUGAGCAUGCAAUGCUGAUGGGAAGAGGAUGCCUGAGAAAGUGAAUCAUUCUCAUCGUUAUGUUCAUCACCUCGGCAUACUUGUCUGACAGGGUGGGAGCACAGGGCCAAUUGAGAAUUAUGCAGUGGUAAGAGUGAUAAGGGAGCAGCUCCAUCUGGGGUUAUAGAAAUCACUUUUUCAUCUCUAUUCCCCACUUCAUUUAACAUCUGCUUCAUGGCCAUGUAGAUGUACUCUUGUACUGGUCUGAAGGGGUGUAACACCUAACAUGUCUUCACAAAACUUUCUUCUCCUAGUUGAAGAACCUUACAUAAACUAACAGCUCAGCAUGGUCAGAUACAUCAGUGGACUGGGCUAGCACAUCCUGGGUUUCAGUUUUCUUUGUAGUUGAUGAUGCUGACAUAAGUAUUUGUUUAUUCCUUUUUACAAAACUCUUCUUUUUGUUUUCCUUCAAGUGAGGUUUCAGCGUACUCAUGCUUGACACUCCCUCCGUCAGUACAUGUUAGGUAGUACAAGAGCGAUAGGAGGAGAGGAGGAGAAGAGAGAAUCAAAAGCAAGCAGAUGCACGCAUCAGGAUAAAACACAUUACCAUACAUACGGCAUAUGUCAUGAUGCAUACAAUAUUGAUAGUGGAUAUAAACGGAGAGAGCCAGCGUUUAGAGUAUUGGUUGGAGAACAGUUCAGUGGGUAUGCAGUGUGCUCAGAAGGUUACUCUCAUAAGGAUGAGCAGAUAUAGAAGAAUGGAUCAGAAGGAUGUUUGUUUAUGUUAGGAGUAAAUAGGCUGGCACACAAUAUGUAUAGAGCAGAGUAGAAAUUGUGCUUACAGCACUCAAUGUAUAUUUACAGAACAGAGUAUUGCCCAUAUGUAGGUAGUUACAGCACUCAAUGUAUAUUUACAGAACAGAGUAUUGCCCAUAUGUAGGUAGUUACAGCACUAAAUGUAUAUUUACAGAACAGAGUAUUGCCCAUAUGUAGGUAGUUACAGCACUAAAUGUAUAUUUACAGAACAGAGUAUUGCCCAUAUGUAGGUAGUUACAGCACUAAAUGUAUAUUUACAGAACAGAGUAUUGCCCAUAUGUAGGUAGUUACAGCACUAAAUGUAUAUUUACAGAACAGAGUAUUGCCCAUAUGUAGGUAGUUACAGCACUAAAUGUAUAUUUACAGAACAGAGUAUUGCCCAUAUGUAGGUCGUGAAACAUUGGCAUGAUGUAGCUUAACAAACUCUGCCAUCAUCAGGGAUGAUCAGCACGUUUCCAUAGGGACCAGUAUAGGUCUGGGGUGUGGGCCAUGCUCUGGUAGCGGACUGCAUCGCUAUUAUUUUGGGACAGGAUUAGACCUGAGAAGAUAUAGUGAGCAAAAAUGCUUCAAAUAUUGGAGAGGGGAAUUUAGAUCUCUGAUCUUAAUGAACUUAAUGGUCAUACUCAUCAGUUUUGACCUUAAUGAAUGCGGAUGAAGAAUGUUGUUACUAGGCAAAAGAAAGCAAAAGGAACAUCCAAAUGAAACAUAAAGACAAAAUGUUUAAGAGUGCACAUCAAUAACGGAUACAAAUAUGAAUACAUACAAGUUUUAGAGCUUAAUCAUAGAGAGAAAUGUUUUUAACCUGCUUUACUAUGUAAGCAAUGGAGUAGUCAGUUUGUCAUUACAUUUCUUCUGCCAAUUCAGAUAUGGACAUGGAUAGACAAAUGGGUAAAUAGUCCUCAUGGGAUCGAAACUUCAGAGAUGAAGUACUAUAUCCGUUUUCAUGAGAGUCAUACUAAACAUCCCAGAGCUCUCAGGGGUGAAUUGACUGGGACAUAAUAAUGUAGGUCAUUCUGACCUUUAUGUCAAUAAAGUGUGUGUGUGUGUGUCUUAUGACAGCAUGUUGGGAUUGUGUGUGCGUGCGCGUACUGGCACAAUCAAGCACAUGUUGCUCACAUUCAUUGGUUUUGUAAUACAUUGAGGUGAAGGACAUAUUUCCCCUGGUGAGAAGUUGAUGGUUGUUGUGGUUAUUGGCUGUUGAGGAAAUUACAGAGAGAUGGGUUUGAUGUCUGUGCAGAUUUAAUCAUCUCACUAUGGAGGUUGGAGCAGGGCAGAGUGACGGGGAAAGAAAGAGAGCCUGAGACACAGUAGGUGUGUGUGCAGACCUCCAUACUUUGGUGCAGAUUGCUUCCCUCACACUCAUGAAUACAAAUGACUCGCUCAUGGCGUCAGGGGGGAUGUUGUAACCAGGGACGUCCUUGUGGUGUGCCCAGUUCAUCAUGGCAGGAACAUUAAGCCAGGAGUAGGAUGAUGAUUAUAAUUGCGAUCUCUACUCUGUGUGAGACAUUGAGGUUUAGUGGGGUGGGUGGGUGUGUGUGUGUGUGUGUGUGUGUGUGUGUGUGUGUGUGUGUGUGUGUGUGUUUGUGUUGACAGGUCAGUGCUUCUUGAGUAUGGUGCGAUACAAUCCUCUUAUGUAUCAACAUCUUGGCUUUGGAAAUUCAUAUUUUUCCCCUUAUUUUUUGAAAGGACUGGAAAUGGGGGGAAAUGAGUGAAUUCUCUCUCACACAUAUUUUCUCUUUCUCUCUCUCUUGUUAUUUUUCUUUCUUCCCCUGUCUGUCUCUCAUAUUUCAUUUCUGGCUCCAGGAGUGGAACAGUUGUAUAAUUCUGUGUACAGUAGCCCAACAUUCUCCAUUGUUUAGAACUUCAGAAUGCUCCCACACUUCUCUCUGGCCUUGUUAUGGUGGGUCUGAUUUCCUAACUGCGUGCUCACUGGAUAACUAUUGGGGAAGUUGGCUAGAAUGUUUUUUAAGUCUGAUGCUUGCUUUCCCCCUCUAGGUUCAGCAAACAGCCUCUUGGUACAAACACAGUGAUUUUCAUGAUUGUUGUCUUGGCCAACUCAAAUAUCCAAAAGCUUUGUUUGGUUUAUCAAGACUUCAGAAGUAAUGUUGGGUAUUCAGGUGUGAUACACCCAGAUUGUGCUUCUUCUGUUCAGUGGAGGGUAUUUUUUCAGGAGUUAAAAAAGAAACAGAAGGGGGAAUGGGUGACUGUAGAUGUUGUUGAUGUGAAUAACUGCUGCAAUUAGAUAGCUUGAUAGACUUCAUUUCAUAAUUUCAUGGUACAUUUGAGGUUCAUCGUCUCAUCUUCCAUGAGUGUCUGAGUUGACUAAUCCUGUUCAGGGGGCGAUGAAUCCUAAUUUUUUGUAGCUUUCCCACUGGGCAAAUUAAGAGAUGUGAGAUCAGUAUCAGAUAUAUACGUAGAUAAUACAUUAUUUUUCUUAUUUAUGUAUCUAUAUAUUAGUGCUGUCAGUUUAAUGCGUUAUUAACGGCGUUAACGCAAACCCAUUUUAACGCCGUUCAUUUUUUUAUCGCGA
ensembl:lncRNA